UUAUGUGGCCAUACCAUCCUGUCAUUGCCUGAUCUCGUUCGAUCUCUGAAGCUAAGCAGGUCUGGGCCUGGUUAGUGGUUGGAUGGGAGACCACUGAGAAUUCCAGGUGCCACAGUGG
rnacentral:rRNA from 1 species